AUUGAACGCUGGCGGCAGGCCUAACACAUGCAAGUCGAGCGAGCGGCGGACGGGUGAGUAAUGUAUGGGGACUGCCCGAUAGAGGGGGAUAACUACUGGAAACGGUAGCUAAUACAGCAUACUAUCGGAUAACCCAUAUGGGAUUAGAUAGUAGGGGAGGUAAUGGCUCACCUAGGCGACGAUCGCCAGCUGGGCUGAGAGGAUGAUCAGCCACACUGGGACUGAGACACGGCCCAGACGCCUACGGAGGCAGCAGUGGGGAAUAUUGCACAAUGGGCGCAAGCCUGAUGCAGCCAUGCCGCGUGUAUGAAGAAGGCCUUCGGGUUGUAAAGUACUUUCAGUCGGGAGGCGUUACCGACAGAAGAAGCACCGGCUAACUCCGUGCCAGCAGCCGCGGUAAUAC
rnacentral:rRNA from 1 species